GAAUUCAUUAUACAUGCAUAUCAGGUACGAUAUCUUACUUACUCCUACUAGAAACCCAAUUUAGAAACCACAAUACGCAGUAUAUAUGCUUUUAACCACGCCCUGUAAUGUUUUGGAUUGCAUUUGCAGCUCCAUCUUGUAUAGGAUUAGAUGCGGUAGAUUUUAAUCCAUGGGAAAUUUGUUAGUUCUAGUAUUAUUGAUUUGAUUCAUUGGUAAAGAUGGAAUUUUGAUUCGGCAGCUUUGUAUUUCUGUGAUCUGAUAAGAUAGACAUAAAACAAUUAAGUUGAAA
rnacentral:lncRNA from 1 species